UUAUGUUGUUUCAAAGAUAAGCCAUGCAUGUCUAAGUAUAAGCAAUUAUACAGCGAAACUGCGAAUGGCUCAUUAAAUCAGUUAUCGUUUAUUUGAUAGUACCUUACUACAUGGAUAACCGUGGUAAUUCUAGAGCUAAUACAUGCUAAAAACCCCGACUUCGGAAGGGGUGUAUUUAUUAGAUUAAAAACCAAUGCCCUUCGGGGCUCACUGGUGAUUCAUGAUAACUUCUCGAAUCGCAUGGCCUUGUGCUGGCGAUGGUUCAUUCAAAUUUCUGCCCUAUCAACUUUCGACGGCUGGGUCUUGGCCAGCCGUGGUGACAACGGGUAACGGAGGGUUAGGGCUCGACCCCGGAGAAAACGCCUGAGAAACGGCGUUUACAUCCAAGGAAGGCAGCAGGCGCGCAAAUUACCCAAUGCCGACACGGCGAGGUAGUGACGAGAAAUACUGAUACAGGGCUCUUUUGGGUCUUGUAAUUGGAAUGAGUACAAUUUAAAUCUCUUAACGAGGAACAAUUGGAGGGCAAGUCUGGUGCCAGCAGCCGCGGUAAUUCCAGCUCCAAUAGCGUAUAUUAAAGUUGUUGCAGUUAAAAAGCUCGUAGUUGAACCUUGGGCCUGGCUGGCCGGUCCGCCUCACCGCGUGCACUGGUCCGGCCGGGCCUUUCCCUCUGGGGAACCCCAUGCCCUUCACUGGGCGUGGCGGGGAACCAGGACUUUUACUUUGAAAAAAUUAGAGUGUUCAAAGCAGGCCUAUGCUCGAAUACAUUAGCAUGGAAUAAUAGAAUAGGACGUGUGGUUCUAUUUUGUUGGUUUCUAGGACCGCCGUAAUGAUUAAUAGGGACAGUCGGGGGCGUCAGUAUUCAAUUGUCAGAGGUGAAAUUCUUGGAUUUAUUGAAGACUAACUACUGCGAAAGCAUUCGUCAAGGAUGUUUUCAUUAAUCAGGAACGAAAGUUAGGGGAUCGAAAACGAUCAGAUACCGUUGUAGUCUUAACCAUAAACUAUGCCGACUAGGGAUCGGGCGGUGUUUAUUUUUUGACCCGCUCGGCACCUUACACGAAAGUAUAAGUUUCUGGGUUCUGGGGGGAAUAUGGUCGCAAGCUGAAACUUAAAUAGA
rnacentral:rRNA from 1 species